rnacentral:lncRNA from 1 species
AUGCUGCCUGUGAACACCAUGGCAGGCCAGGCAUACAGCAGGAGCUCGGCCAGUGUCUGCUGUUGGCGUUGUUUUUGUUGUUUUCAUUCUCCAGUCAGUUGCAUUCUAACUCUGCUGCAUCCUCUCUGGGUCUUUCAGCACUUGUCCCCACUGGAUCUCAGUUUCCUCCUCUAUAAAAGAGGAGGAGUCACCUCUCCCUCUCAGGGUUCUUGUGAGGACAGAGAGCUCCUGACGUGCAAUAGGGGCUCUGAAAACAGGAGACCCUUGCCCUGGAAUGGAGACGCACCCCAGAUGUAG